CAAAGCAGUGUCUUCUUCUUCAUGUGGUUGUAUUAAACGCACGUCUUUUAGUUGUCCGUGAAUUAAUAUAUGUUUCUGAGAUUAUUUUAUGGUAGUCCUGAAUUAUCAGAAGUAUUGCCGAGUUUUACAUGUACAUUAAAUUGUUAACAAACCAACAA